GAUGAACGCUGGCGGCGUGCCUAAUACAUGCAAGUCGAGCGAACAGAUGAGGAGCUUGCUCCUCUGACGUUAGCGGCGGACGGGUGAGUAACACGUGGAUAACCUACCUAUAAGACUGGGAUAACUUCGGGAAACCGGAGCUAAUACCGGAUAAUAUAUUGAACCGCAUGGUUCAAUAGUGAAAGACGGUUUUGCUGUCACUUAUAGAUGGAUCCGCGCCGCAUUAGCUAGUUGGUAAGGUAACGGCUUACCAAGGCAACGAUGCGUAGCCGACCUGAGAGGGUGAUUGGCCACACUGGAACUGAGACACGGUCCAGACUCCUACGGGAGGCAGCAGUAGGGAAUCUUCCGCAAUGGGCGAAAGCCUGACGGAGCAACGCCGCGUGAGUGAUGAAGGUCUUCGGAUCGUAAAACUCUGUUAUUAGGGAAGAACAAAUGUGUAAGUAACUAUGCACGUCUUGACGGUACCUAAUCAGAAAGCCACGGCUAACUACGUG
rnacentral:rRNA from 1 species